rnacentral:lncRNA from 1 species
UACUGACAGGUUAUGAGAAAUGACAUUUGGGUGUAUUCCCAGCAUGUCAAAUGGUACCCACGCAAACAAAUCUCUAUUUUCGAACAACACAUGGCCGAUAUCUCUAACAUGAUCUUUGCUUAAAUUCUUCCCGAUUAACGUGUGUUUAUCCGGCUCAUCUCCUAACCCGAACGGUUGGGUUUCACCCAUGGGUUCCAUUCGGUCUUCGUUA